rnacentral:rRNA from 1 species
GGCGGCAGGGCUAACACAUGCAAGUCGAGCGGCAGCGGGGGGAAGCUUGCUUCCCCGCCGGCGAGCGGCGGACGGGUGAGUAAUGUCUGGGGAUCUGCCUGAUGGAGGGGGAUAACUACUGGAAACGGUAGCUAAUACCGCAUAACGUCGCAAGACCAAAGUGGGGGACCUUCGGGCCUCACGCCAUCGGAUGAACCCAGAUGGGAUUAGCUAGUAGGUGAGGUAACGGCUCACCUAGGCGACGAUCCCUAGCUGGUCUGAGAGGAUGACCAGCCACACUGGAACUGAGACACGGUCCAGACUCCUACGGGAGGCAGCAGUGGGGAAUAUUGCACAAUGGGGGAAACCCUGAUGCAGCCAUGCCGCGUGUGUGAAGAAGGCCUUCGGGUUGUAAAGCACUUUCAGCGGGGAGGAAGGGGACAAGGUUAAUAACCUUGUUCAUUGACGUUACCCGCAGAAGAAGCACCGGCUAACUCCGUGCCAGCAGCCGCGGUAAUACGGAGGGUGCAAGCGUUAAUCGGAAUGACUGGGCGUAAAGCGCACGCAGGCGGUCUGUUAAGUUGGAUGUGAAAUCCCCGGGCUUAACCUGGGAACUGCAUUCAAAACUGACAGGCUAGAGUCUCGUAGAGGGGGGUAGAAUUCCAGGUGUAGCGGUGAAAUGCGUAGAGAUCUGGAGGAAUACCGGUGGCGAAGGCGGCCCCCUGGACGAAGACUGACGCUCAGGUGCGAAAGCGUGGGGAGCAAACAGGAUUAGAUACCCUGGUAGUCCACGCUGUAAACGAUGUCGAUUUGGAGGUUGUGCCCUUGAGGCGUGGCUUCCGGAGCUAACGCGUUAAAUCGACCGCCUGGGGAGUACGGCCGCAAGGUUAAAACUCAAAUGAAUUGACGGGGGCCCGCACAAGCGGUGGAGCAUGUGGUUUAAUUCGAUGCAACGCGAAGAACCUUACCUACUCUUGACAUCCAGCGAACCCUGUAGAGAUGCGGGGGUGCCUUCGGGAACGCUGAGACAGGUGCUGCAUGGCUGUCGUCAGCUCGUGUUGUGAAAUGUUGGGUUAAGUCCCGCAACGAGCGCAACCCUUAUCCUCUGUUGCCAGCACUUCGGGUGGGAACUCAGGGGAGACUGCCGGUGAUAAACCGGAGGAAGGUGGGGAUGACGUCAAGUCAUCAUGGCCCUUACGAGUAGGGCUACACACGUGCUACAAUGGCGCAUACAAAGAGAAGCGACCUCGCGAGAGCAAGCGGACCUCAUAAAGUGCGUCGUAGUCCGGAUUGGAGUCUGCAACUCGACUCCAUGAAGUCGGAAUCGCUAGUAAUCGUAGAUCAGAAUGCUACGGUGAAUACGUUCCCGGGCCUUGUACCCACCGCCCGUCACACCAUGGGAGUGGGUUGCAAAAGAAGUACCUAGCUUAACCU